UGUGAGCUCGAUGAGUAGGGCGGGACACGUGAUAUCCUGUCUGAAGAUGGGGGGACCAUCCUCCAAGGCUAAAUACUCCUGACUGACCGAUAGUGAACCAGUACCGUGAGGGAAAGGCGAAAAGAACCCCGGCGAGGGGAGUGAAACAGAACCUGAAACCGUGUACGUACAAGCAGUGGGAGCCUUCGUAAGAGGGUGACUGCGUACCUUUUGUAUAAUGGGUCAGCGACUUAUAUUCUGUAGCAAGGUUAACCGUAUAGGGGAGCCGAAGGGAAACCGAGUCUUAAUUGGGCGUUAAGUUGCAGGGUAUAGACCCGAAACCCGGUGAUCUAGCCAUGGGCAGGUUGAAGGUUGGGUAACACUAACUGGAGGACCGAACCGACUAAUGUUGAAAAAUUAGCGGAUGACCUGUGGCUGGGGGUGAAAGGCCAAUCAAACCGGGAGAUAGCUGGUUCUCCCCGAAAGCUAUUUAGGUAGCGCCUCGUGAAUUCAUCUCCGGGGGUAGAGCACUGUUUCGGCUAGGGGGCCAUCCCGGCUUACCAACCCGAUGCAAACUGCGAAUACCGGAGAAUGUUAUCACGGGAGACACACGGCGGGUGCUAACGUCCGUCGUGAAGAGGGAAACAACCCAGACCGCCAGCUAAGGUCCCAAAGUCAUGGUUAAGUGGGAAACGAUGUGGGAAGGCCCAGACAGCCAGGAUGUUGGCUUAGAAGCAGCCAUCAUUUAAAGAAAGCGUAAUAGCUCACUGGUCGAGUCGGCCUGCGCGGAAGAUGUAACGGGGCUAAACCAUGCACCGAAGCUGCGGCAGCGACACUAUGUGUUGUUGGGUAGGGGAGCGUUCUGUAAGCCUGUGAAGGUGUGCUGUGAGGCAUGCUGGAGGUAUCAGAAGUGCGAAUGCUGACAUAAGUAACGAUAAAGCGGGUGAAAAGCCCGCUCGCCGGAAGACCAAGGGUUCCUGUCCAACGUUAAUCGGGGCAGGGUGAGUCGACCCCUAAGGCGAGGCCGAAAGGCGUAGUCGAUGGGAAACAGGUUAAUAUUCCUGUACUUGGUGUUACUGCGAAGGGGGGACGGAGAAGGCUAUGUCGGCCGGGCGACGGUUGUCCCGGUUUAAGCGUGUAGGCUGACUUUCCAGGCAAAUCCGGAA
rnacentral:rRNA from 1 species